AUUUGGACCAUUUUUAUCUAAUUUUGGAGCAAUUUUGAGCCAUUUUGAUCGAGAUUCAAGUUAUUGUUGGUGAAAUGUGGACCAAAGACUGAAUUUUAGUAGAAAUAUGGAUCCAUCCAUACACUGAUGACUGAUAAUCGUCUUCUGAUGUGAGAAUCACGCAGAAUAUUUUACUUUCAGUUUCAAGUGUGUUUUUUUUCUGCAGCUGCAGCAGAUUCUUUCUAUAAAAACAGGAAUCUGUUGGUUUCAUGGUUCAGAGGGUAGAAGCUGCUGCCAGUCGGGCUUCAAACAUGGAGAAGGUCGUGACUAAAUAUUUCCAUCGCCAUCUGAGCGUCUACGCCGCCAUCAUCAUGAUGUUCACCUACAACGUCCUGCUGGACCGGGACUUCUCCUGCUCCUGCAGGGCUCAGCGCCUGGAGUGCAGCUUCUACAUGGUGCUGCCUCUUCUCAUCAUCGUCGUGUUGAUCCUCUGGACCGAUCGGCCGCUUCACAGCAUCUGCAGACACGUUUGUAGAAGACGCUGUUGGUCCUGGAGCUUCAUGCCUCGUGUGCUGAAGGCUCUGCUGGUGGGGCUGCUGUGGGUGGCCUUCGUCCUCAUCGAUGGAGACUGGUACGUCUGCUGCAGGAACAACCUGUCCGACCUGCUGGUCCAUCUGCCCUGCACAGACCAGACCAAGAUCACCGCCGAGGAGCGAGUCCGGAUCGUCGAGCUGAAGAACUGGUCUAGGGUUUAUGGCUCCGUUCUGCUGCUGGCCAUCGUACUUAUUGCAGCUUUAAUGUCCGUCUUUGAGUGGGAAAGAUGCUGCAACACUCAGCCUCUAUUCCAGAGACUGAUCCUGGAGGCCAAAAGAAACAAACUGGAGGAGGUUCUAAGGAAAGCAGCCGAAGAAAAGCUGACGGAGAAAGUCAUCGAGAAGAUAGACGAUGGACCAUGGGACCAAGUCUGUGACGUCGUUGAAACUCUGAUUGAAGAAUCACAACAAGGACGAGACCUGGGGGGACGAGAAAACAGACGCAGAGCAGCAGAACACCAGGAGGAGGAACUGAAACUGGCCCAGAGACCAGAGUGAGAACUUCUCGACGCCGAGGAUCCAAACUUCGAGAGAAGAAACGACGAUGUGAAAUAAUGAAACCAGAGAAAGAAACAAACAUCCAGAAACUUGUAUCUUAUUUUCUGAUUUAAAUAAAUGGUUUCUAUUAUCUGCAGUGAGAACAAACACAAAAUGACACAAAAUCUUCUUAAAGCACAUUUUUAUUGACGUCUGUUUUAUUUUAUUGAUUUUAUUUGUUCAUUUUAUUCUCUUUUAUGAUUUUUUCUAUUUUUUUUCUUUCCUGUUUCUAAUAAUCUGAAUAUUUCUAUCCUUUUCUUUAUGGUUUUUACCCUCGAUUUAUUUUAUU
ensembl:lncRNA